AUGACUUUUAUCACCAUCUUCAUCUGGGCACUUGUCUUCUGCACUCAAGAAACUGCAGGGCAGUACACUGUGACUCAGACUCCUGCAGUGAAAACUCUUCUCCCAGGGCAGACAGUGUCAAUGGGCUGUAAAGUCAGCAGUGCUGUCAGUGAUUGUGGGAGUUCCAAUGACUGUCUACUCUGGUACCUGCAGAAACCUGGAGAAGCUCCUAAACUCCUGAUCAUUAGUGCAAGCACCCGUCACACGGGGACUCCAGAUCGAUUCAGUGGCAGUGGAUCUGGAAGUGACUUCACUCUGACCAUCAGUGGAGUCCAGGCUGAAGAUGCAGGAGAUUACUACUGUCAGAGUCUACACUAUCCUAGUAGCACCUGGGUGUUCACACAGUGUUAG